rnacentral:rRNA from 1 species
AUGCAGAAGAAAUUGAAGGCUGCCUAUACUCUUAGAGAGCAAUUAUAUACCGACGCACAACAGAUCAUUUGUACCGCCUCUCAUAACAAACCGCCCCCAACCUUGAUCAAGGAAACAUUAGAGAGGCUAUCAAUGCUGCCUGUCCAGUUUGAGGAGUUAAAAAGAUCAGCUGCAAGGGUAGGUGCUCUGACUGCGCUAAUCCGGGCUAAAGCAUGCAUACCAGAUCUUGACCCGGCUGAUGUUGGAAGCGGCUAUCCGAGCAUAAAGGAGGACGGGUCAGAUUUUGAAAAUGAUGAUCUCCGAGCUUUGAUGAAGGAAAUGCGCCCAUUAGCGAGCAAAUUGGUUGAAGAGACAGAUCUUUCUCAUUACUAG